AUUGAACGCUGGCGGCAGGCUUAACACAUGCAAGUCGAACGAGUGGCGGACGGGUGAGUAAUGUCUGGGAAACUGCCUGAUGGAGGGGGAUAACUACUGGAAAGGGUAGCUAAUACCGCAUACCAUUGGAUGGGCCCAGAUGGGAUUAGCUAGUUGGUGGGGUAACGGCUCUCCGAGGCGACGAUGCGUAGCUGGUCUGAGCGGCAGAACUGCCACACGGGAACUGAGACACGGUCCAGACUCCUACGGGAGGCAGCAGUGGGGAAUAUUGGACAAUGGGCGCAAGCCUGAUACAGCCAUGCCGCGUGUAUGAAGAAGGCAUUCGGGUUGUAAAGUACUUUCAGCAGGGAGGCGGUACCCGCAGAAGAAGCACCGGCUAACUACGUGCCAGCAGCCGCGGUAAUUC
rnacentral:rRNA from 1 species